ACCCGCUGAACUUAAGCAUAUCAAUAAGCGGAGGAAAAGAAACCAACAGGGAUUGCCCUAGUAACGGCGAGUGAAGCGGCAACAGCUCAAAUUUGAAAUCUGGCUCUUUUAGAGUCCGAGUUGUAAUUUGCAGAGGGCGCUUUGGCUUUGGCAGCGGUCCAAGUUCCUUGGAACAGGACGUCACAGAGGGUGAGAAUCCCGUACGUGGUCGCUGGCUAUUGCCGUGUAAAGCCCCUUCGACGAGUCGAGUUGUUUGGGAAUGCAGCUCUAAAUGGGAGGUACAUUUCUUCUAAAGCUAAAUAUUGGCCAGAGACCGAUAGCGCACAAGUAGAGUGAUCGAAAGAUGAAAAGCACUUUGGAAAGAGAGUCAAACAGCACGUGAAAUUGUUGAAAGGGAAGCGCUUGCAGCCAGACUUGCUUACAGUUGCUCAUCCGGGCUUUUGCCCGGUGCACUCUUCUGUAGGCAGGCCAGCAUCAGUUUGGGCGGUAGGAUAAAGGUCUCUGUCACGUACCUCUCUUCGGGGAGGCCUUAUAGGGGAGACGACAUACUACCAGCCCGGACUGAGGUCCGCGCAUCUGCUAGGAUGCUGGCGUAAUGGCUGU
rnacentral:rRNA from 1 species